rnacentral:rRNA from 1 species
GAUGAACGCUGGCGGCGUGCCUAAUACAUGCAAGUCGAGCGAACAGAUAAGGAGCUUGCUCCUUUGACGUUAGCGGCGGACGGGUGAGUAACACGUGGAUAACCUACCUAUAAGACUGGGAUAACUUCGGGAAACCGGAGCUAAUACCGGAUAGCAUAUUGAACCGCAUGGUUCAAUAGUGAAAGGCGGCUUUGCUGUCACUUAUAGAUGGAUCCGCGCCGUAUUAGCUAGUUGGUAAGGUAACGGCUUACCAAGGCAACGAUACGUAGCCGACCUGAGAGGGUGAUCGGCCACACUGGAACUGAGACACGGUCCAGACUCCUACGGGAGGCAGCAGUAGGGAAUCUUCCGCAAUGGGCGAAAGCCUGACGGAGCAACGCCGCGUGAGUGAUGAAGGUCUUCGGAUCGUAAAACUCUGUUAUCAGGGAAGAACAAAUGUGUAAGUAACUGUGCACAUCUUGACGGUACCUGAUCAGAAAGCCACGGCUAACUACGUG